CGCUCACCCGCCGUGAAACCACAGUCGGACGCACGCGCGCGCGCUCGCCGCUCGCGCCCGCUCGCUCGCUCGCUCGCGCGGCGCACACCUCCCCGCCGCUGGUCCAGACCCAGACACCGCAUGCCAGUGCACCUCGCUCCCUGAGCCACAGGCCGCAGGAGCAGAAGAAGAAACAGAUGGGCACCAGCUGUUUGGACGAGAGCCCCGGGUACACAGCUACUGUAUUGCAGCGCGCGCAUGAACACACGCAUGAACACAAACAGUGGAGUUGUUGGACUGCAGCGGCGCGCGGCAGCUCUCCUGGCCCGUCUCAGCGGAAGAACCCACGGGAACGGAGCAACGUUAGACUCAGGGCACGAGCUCCCGAAGGUGUUUUACUUGCAGAGUCGAAGAAGGAGGUCAACAGUCACAAAGUAUGGGUUUCAGCCCUUUAAUGAGAUACAAAUAAGAACAAACUGCAACUGAACAGUUUAACCUGAGCACAUGCUGCAUGAGGCUCCAAUAUGCGUUAAUGCAGCUGCAGUUCUGUUGGAUUCAGGCGACAGGUCUCUGGGCCCGGCUUGUGUUUUUAUGAAGGUCCAUAACGCUGGAGGACGGAGCUGUGGAGCGGUCCAGACCCCGUCAUGUUAUACUGCUGAUGCCGGCGCUGCCAGAACCCUCUCACGCCCCGUCCUGGACAGCAGAGACACGCGGCCACGGCGGCCGACGGACCGCAGCCGUAAACACUGCACCUCUGCUGCUUUUCGAACCGGGGGACGGGCGUUUUCCACCACAAGUCACAGGUUGAUCUGCAAUAACGUUUGGAUCAAGUAUCACACGGCUGAUGCCUUUGAUGGGUGCUGUAACGGGACGGGACCUACGAGGUCACAAGGACUGAAUAUAAACAACUCAUCAACUCAGCUUAAGUUUGAUAGAUGCUUUAUUAUGACUGGAAGUGUUUAACUAAAAGCGACUCCCGCCCUCUGGCUGCUCAGAUUAGGAUCUGUUUAACAUUCUUCUCUUUACCAACAUAUAUCUAUUGAACAUGAUUCCCCUCGACUCUCCCGCUCAACCGAUACGAGAGCCAUUAAUUUAUUGGAGGCCUUUGAAGAAGGAGGCCCGGAGGAGGUUCUCGCAGUCAGGCUGCGUUACAGUCACCUUGCGGAGGCGAGAUGCUGCGUGGCGAACGUUGCCACGGCGAAUGAAGGGACUAACACAGAGUGUCAGGUAGGAAACAGACAGGCUGCAGGGCCACGACAAUCAGCAGGGCCCGGCCCCGCGCUAGGCAGGACUUCAAUAAAAUACCUCCAGUCCUACUUUUAAAAGCA
rnacentral:lncRNA from 1 species